GAUUGCAGGCUGCAACUCGCCUGUAUGAAGUCGGAAUCGCUAGUAAUCGCGGAUCAGCAUGCCGCGGUGAAUACGUUCCCGGGCCUUGUACACACCGCCCGUCACACCAUGGGAGUCGAUAACGCCCGAAGUCAAUGACCCAACCUUAUAGGAGGGAGCUGCCGAAGGCGGAAUUGAUAACUGGGGUGAAGUCGUAACAAGGUAGC
rnacentral:rRNA from 1 species